UACGUAGGGGGGCUAGCGUUGUCCGGAAUCAUUGGGCGUAAAGCGCGUGUAGGCGGUUCGGUAAGUCCGCUGUGAAAGUCGGGGGCUCAACCCUCGAAAGCCGGUGGAUACUGUCGAACUAGAGUGCGGAAGAGGCGAGUGGAAUUCCUGGUGUAGCGGUGAAAUGCGCAGAUAUCAGGAGGAACACCAAUUGCGAAGGCAGCUCGCUGGGACGUUACUGACGCUGAGACGCGAAAGCGUGGGGAGCGAACAGG
rnacentral:rRNA from 1 species